AUGCAGUCGAGCGGAUGAGUGGAGCUUGCUCCAUGAUUCAGCGGCGGACGGGUGAGUAAUGCCUAGGAAUCUGCCUGGUAGUGGGGGACAACGUUUCGAAAGGAACGCUAAUACCGCAUACGUCCUACGGGAGAAAGUGGGGGAUCUUCGGACCUCACGCUAUCAGAUGAGCCUAGGUCGGAUUAGCUAGUUGGUGAGGUAAAGGCUCACCAAGGCGACGAUCCGUAACUGGUCUGAGAGGAUGAUCAGUCACACUGGAACUGAGACACGGUCCAGACUCCUACGGGAGGCAGCAGUGGGGAAUAUUGGACAAUGGGCGAAAGCCUGAUCCAGCCAUGCCGCGUGUGUGAAGAAGGUCUUCGGAUUGUAAAGCACUUUAAGUUGGGAGGAAGGGCAGUAAGUUAAUACCUUGCUGUUUUGACGUUACCGACAGAAUAAGCACCGGCUAACUUCGUGCCAGCAGCCGCGGUAAUACGAAGGGUGCAAGCGUUAAUCGGAAUUACUGGGCGUAAAGCGCGCGUAGGUGGUUCGUUAAGUUGGAUGUGAAAGCCCCGGGCUCAACCUGGGAACUGCAUCCAAAA
rnacentral:rRNA from 2 species